GACGAACGCUGGCGGCGUGCUUAACACAUGCAAGUCGAACGAUGAAGCCCAGCUUGCUGGGUGGAUUAGUGGCGAACGGGUGAGUAACACGUGAGUAACCUGCCCUUGACUCUGGGAUAAGCGCUGGAAACGGCGUCUAAUACCGGAUACGACCUGCCCCGGCAUCGGGUGCGGGUGGAAAGUUUUUCGGUCAAGGAUGGACUCGCGGCCUAUCAGGUAGUUGGUGAGGUAAUGGCUCACCAAGCCGACGACGGGUAGCCGGCCUGAGAGGGUGACCGGCCACACUGGGACUGAGACACGGCCCAGACUCCUACGGGAGGCAGCAGUGGGGAAUAUUGCACGAUGGGCGAAAGCCUGAUGCAGCAACGCCGCGUGGGGGAUGACGGCCUUCGGGUUGUAAACCUCUUUUAGUAGGGAAGAAGGGCUUCGGCUUGACGGUACCUGCAGAAAAAGCACCGGCUAACUACGUGCCAGCAGCCGCGGUAAUACGUAAGGUGCAAGCGUUGUCCGGAAUUAUUGGGCGUAAAGAGCUCGUAAGCGGUUUGUCGCGUCUGCUGUGAAAACCCGAGGCUCAACCUCGGGCCUGCAGUGGGUACGGGCAGACUAGAGUGCGGUAGGGGAGAAUGGAAUUCCUGGUGUAGCGGUGGAAUGCGCAGAUAUCAGGAGGAACACCGAUGGCGAAGGCAGUUCUCUGGGCCGUUACUGACGCUGAGGAGCGAAAGCGUGGGGAGCGAACAGGAUUAGAUACCCUGGUAGUCCACGCCGUAAACGUUGGGAACUAGAUGUGGGGACCUUUCCACGGUCUCCGUGCCGCAGCUAACGCAUUAAGUUCCCCGCCUGGGGAGUACGGCCGCAAGGCUAAAACUCAAAGGAAUUGACGGGGGCCCGCACAAGCGGCGGAGCAUGCGGAUUAAUUCGAUGCAACGCGAAGAACCUUACCAAGGCUUGACAUAUACCGGAAACUUCCAGAAAUGGUUGCCCCGCAAGGUCGGUAUACAGGUGGUGCAUGGUUGUCGUCAGCUCGUGUCGUGAGAUGUUGGGUUAAGUCCCGCAACGAGCGCAACCCUCGUUCUAUGUUGCCAGCACGUCAUGGUGGGAACUCAUAGGAGACUGCCGGGGUCAACUCGGAGGAAGGUGGGGAUGACGUCAAAUCAUCAUGCCCCUUAUGUCUUGGGCUUCGCGCAUGCUACAAUGGCCGGUACAAAGGGCUGCGAUACCGUAAGGUGGAGCGAAUCCCAAAAAGCCGGUCUCAGUUCGGAUUGAGGUCUGCAACUCGACCUCAUGAAGUCGGAGUCGCUAGUAAUCGCAGAUCAGCAACGCUGCGGUGAAUACGUUCCCGGGCCU
rnacentral:rRNA from 1 species